GCCGGAUAUGCCAAUGAAUCAGGCUGGACACUGCAGUCUGUACUGCACCCCUCUGAGGUCUGUGGCCUAGGCAGCUAUCUAGUUUGCCCCAUGAUAGGGCUGGCCCUGGGUGCCAGCCUCAGUCAAAUAGGCCUGUUCUGACACCUCACUGAAUGUGGUGGUGCUCUUUGCUUCCAGUGUAGUAUUCCUUGUAGCACUCCUAGGCCUCAUUAUGGACUUUCAUAGCUACACUAGGAUGCUGUGUUAGGUUCACUCAGCUGCAUAGCUGUCAACUUACAGAUUUGAAAAUAAGGGACCAGCAGCCUUGAAAAUAAGGGACCAGCAGCCAAAAUAAGGGACCUGCAGCCUUACCUGUUCCAGGCACUCCAGUCUUCCUGUCUUCCUGCAGUCUGGUCAAACUCAUGCUGGGUAGCUUCGAGAACACUGUCCAACCAACUUUGUAACCAGAGGUUCAACUGAAUAGAAUCUGAAUCACAUGCACCACAAGGCCUAUGCAGCCUCAACUUAGAAUGGCUCCCCAGCCUGGCUUUGCACUGCAAAGUUUGCAGCAGCACGUGCAACAAAAUGGCGUCCAGCAUUCAAAAAACUCCUCAGCUUGCAUUAACUAGCCACACACAAGGCAUGCAAGCUCCACCCCCCAGGCGUUCUUAGACUUCUUAUUGGGUGAGCAACACAGCCAAGCAACACAGUUGGAGCCUCCCUCCUCCCUGGCCGGCAGGGAGGGAGGGAGAGGAGCUGCUUCCUUUGAAAUUUAAGGGACAUCAUUUAAGGGACAUUUAAGGACAUCCAUCAAUAAGGGACAGCAGCGGGACAUGGCGCUGGAAUAAGGGACUGUCCCUUCAAAUAAGGGACACUUGACAGCUAUGCUCAGCUGAGGGGAGUCAAAAGGCCUUCAACACCUGUGCCUUCCACUUGAUUGUGGUGUCGCUGUUUUAUGGGGCGGCCAUUUUCAGUUACCUUAACCCCCGGUCCAACUAUUCUUGUGACCAGGCAAGAUGGUUUCCUUUUUCUAUACAUUUGUUGUCACCACGCUUAAUGCA